rnacentral:rRNA from 1 species
GACGAACGCUGGCGGCGUGCUUAACACAUGCAAGUCGAACGGAAAGGCCCUGCUUUUGUGGGGUGCUCGAGUGGCGAACGGGUGAGUAACACGUGAGUAACCUUCCCUUGACUUUGGGAUAACUUCAGGAAACUGGGGCUAAUACCGGAUAGGAGCUCCUGCUGCAUGGUGGGGGUUGGAAAGUUUCGGCGGUUGGGGAUGGACUCGCGGCUUAUCAGCUUGUUGGUGGGGUAGUGGCUUACCAAGGCUUUGACGGGUAGCCGGCCUGAGAGGGUGACCGGCCACAUUGGGACUGAGAUACGGCCCAGACUCCUACGGGAGGCAGCAGUGGGGAAGAUUGCACAAUGGGCGGAAGCCUGAUGCAGCAACGCCGCGUGCGGGAUGACGGCCUUCGGGGUGUAAACCGCUUUCGCCUGUGACGAAGCGUGAGUGACGGUAAUGGGUAAAGAAGCACCGGCUAACUACGUG